AUGAUAAAUACACAAGGGAGUGGACAGGGGGCUGGGUGUUUUUUUUUUUUUGGUGUUAUUGUUUUGUUUUUGCAUAAUGAUAACAUUUUUAAAUCCAGAGAUGAGUGUUAUAUACUAAAAUUUAGAGAAAUGAGCUUUUACAAUGAGACUGAACAUAUUUCUGUUCCAUCCACUAUUCCUUUGAAUGAAGGCAGCAUUUUGAGAAUUUCAGGCUCUGGAACUAAGACUGUAAAGAGGUUAAGACAGUAGAAAUGGUGAUAAGAAGAGAAUGGAGCCGACUUUUUUACUUUCAGAUCCAUCAU
rnacentral:lncRNA from 9 species